rnacentral:rRNA from 1 species
GUCCACGCCGUAAACGAUGAGUGCUAGGUGUUGGAUCCUUUCCGGGAUUCAGUGCCGCAGCUAACGCAUUAAGCACUCCGCCUGGGGAGUACGACCGCAAGGUUGAAACUCAAAGGAAUUGACGGGGGCCCGCACAAGCGGUGGAGCAUGUGGUUUAAUUCGAAGCAACGCGAAGAACCUUACCAGGUCUUGACAUCCCGAUGCUAUUUCUAGAGAUAGAAAGUUACUUCGGUACAUCGGUGACAGGUGGUGCAUGGUUGUCGUCAGCUCGUGCCGUGAGGUGUCGGCUUAAGUGCCAUAACGAGCGCAACCCUUGUGGUCAGUUACUAACAGGUAAUGCUGAGGACUCUGGCCAGACUGCCAUCGUAAGAUGUGAGGAAGGCGGGGAUGACGUCAAAUCAGCACGGCCCUUACGUCCGGGGCUACACACGUGUUACAAUGGGAGGUACAGAAGGCUGCGACCCGGCGACGGGCAGCUAAUCCCAAAAGCCUCUCUCAGUUCGGACUGGAGUCUGCAACCCGACUCCACGAAG